GACGAACGCUGGCGGCGUGCUUAACACAUGCCAGUCGAACGGAAAGGCCCUGCUUUUGUGGGGUGCUCGAGUGGCGAACGGGUGAGUAACACGUGAGUAACCUGCCCUUGACUUUGGGAUAACUUCAGGAAACUGGGGCUAAUACCGGAUAGGAGCUCCUGCUGCAUGGUGGGGGUUGGAAAGUUUCGGCGGUUGGGGAUGGACUCGCGGCUUAUCAGCUUGUUGGUGGGGUAGUGGCUUACCAAGGCUUUGACGGGUAGCCGGCCUGAGAGGGUGACCGGCCACAUUGGGACUGAGAUACGGCCCAGACUCCUACGGGAGGCAGCAGUGGGGAAUAUUGCACAAUGGGCGGAAGCCUGAUGCAGCAACGCCGCGUGCGGGAUGACGGCCUUCGGGUUGUAAACCGCUUUCGCUUGUGACGAAGCGUGAGUGACGGUAAUGGGUAAAGAAGCACCGGCUAACUACGUG
rnacentral:rRNA from 1 species